rnacentral:rRNA from 1 species
GAUGAACGCUGGCGGCGUGCUUAACACAUGCAAGUCGAACGGUAAACCUUUUACUGAAGCUUCUGCAGAUUUAGCUGGUUUCUAAUUGCGGCCUGGUGAGUAACGCGUGUGUAACCUGCCUUAUACAGGGGGAUAUCAGUCAUAAAUGACAGCUAAUACUGCAUCAUCGCACAGGACCGCAUGGUGCGGUGUGAAAAACUCCGGUGGUAUAGGAUGGACCCGCGUUGGUUUAUAUUGUUGGAGGGGUAACGGCCCACCAAGGCUACGAUGCAUAGCCGGCAUGGGAGGGCGGCCGGGAACAUUGGGGCUGGGACACGGACCAGACUCCUACGGAAGGAAGCAGGGGGGAAUAUUGAACAAUGGGGGAAAGAAUGAUGCUGCGACGCCGCGUGAAGGAGGAAGUAUAUAGGUAUGUAAACUUGUAUGAGAAGGGAAGAUAGUGACGGUACCUUACUAAGAAGCCCCGGCUAACUACGUG